AGCAUUGUGCAAUUACCUGGAGAAGGAAAUUAAUUCAGUUGGAAGGAGCUCUGUUAAGCAAAGAGCACGUCUUGCCAAGAGGCUGAGCAGGCAGUACUUCAGUCCCUGUUGGCUUGGGAAUAAAAGGAAGAGAAUUAGAAAUUGAACUUGGCUCUCCUGAAUGACAGUGGGAUACUUUUCACUGCCAGAAAUGCUGCAGUUUCAAGCUGGAGAAGUUUCCUGAGUUCUUCCAAAAUUUCAGCUUUUCUCCUCCUGACUCAGGCAGAAAAGCAUCAGAGAUGAAACUCAGCUAGAGUGUGACCACAGAAUAAUCCUUUGGAAACUGUACCUGGCUCAGAGAUUUUCAGGGAGUAUUGAGCAACAAGUAAUAGUCCCAUAACCUAAAUUCAUGCAGCAUCCAGCAGCGCUGUCUCUGAGUGUGGGAAAUUGACUGUUGCUGCGGGGAAAGCGAACAAGAGGGAGAAAACAGGAAGAUGGCAGGGGAACGGCAAGAAACAAAGGCCAGAAGGAACACAUAAUGCAGCAAUACCCCGGUGAGAUUGAGCUGGUUUCCAAGAGGGAUCGUUUGGGGACUUCACAGUUCAUGUGACACACUCAGCAGCAAUGUCAAACCACCAACUCCAGCAGCAGCAGAGAUAAAAAGAAAUCUGCAUGAUGAGGAAGAGAAGAGGCCAAAUUCUGCUGGCCCUUCAUGAGCAUCCAACUUGGGAGAUCAGUGAAUAUAAACAGAUGGAUCUCACUUGACGAGACUGCAACCUCGUCAGACCAGCAUACAGCACUAUUUGAUAGUAAGAUGGGAAAGAUGGAGAAUACAUCAGGGGUUAAAUAAUGAGGAGAUUUUUAGUUAGAGGUUCUUUUUUUGCUCUGAGCUACUGAAUCCCCAUGUUGUUUACUACCCGAGCCUGUUUUACUAUCUGCAUGUUUUAAUGAAAAGCAUAAACUGAGAACACUUACAUGUGCUAGACACUUCUAGAGCAGGAAUUGGCAACAUACAGGGGCUGGAUCUGGCCAGUGAAACCACAUAAUCCAACCCACAAAAAUGGAGGGCUUUUCCUGUGGCCAUUCUGCAGACUUCUCCCAGCUUCCAACCUGCUCCCCAGCUGUAUCUGCACUGCUUCUACUCCAUCUGAGCUGCCCCUACUUCUCGCCAUUCAUCCCCUCUUUCUGCUUCCAGCUGCAGUGUGGGUUCAGCUGGAAGGUGCCCAGCCCUGGCUCAGCUCCCUGUGGGCUAUAACCUGUGCCUUCAUGGCAGCUGGGGGAAUGGGGAGAAGUGGCAGCACCUCAGGCAUAGUUGAAAGCUGCGUGGCCCUGAAACAGUGACUCUACCUGCACUAUUGCUGGGGCCAGGCAGUGAGGAGCUGUGUCAGGGCAUGCAGCUUUUAUGUUACAGCUGGAAGGCAUGGGGGAGGAGGCGGAGCAAAGAGCAACAGCUACUACAUGGACAGAAGGUGGUGACAGAUGAAGAUCCCUGGUCUAACUCAUAGUGCUUCACACAAAGUGCCAUGAGUUAGACCAACCCUUCUGACCCAACAGACAUUAUUAGAAGUUGGAUCAGGAGGGUGGAGGAUUGAGCUCCACUUUGGAGACAAUCCAGCAAGAGAUGCUGCGUGUCUGCAACCACUUUCCCCUAGCUCCAAUCCUGCCUUUCCCAGCACCAGGGCUGUCUCAGGAUGGGAGGGGGAGAAGGCAAGGGAGGGAGCUUGGUUUGGGGUUUACCCAGCUUGUGCUGGAGCAAGGGGGCAGGAGUGGGGCAGGGGGUUCUCCAAUCCACAUACCUCACCUUCCAGCGCAGGCUGGGCAAAUCCCAGACAGAUCUCCCUUUCCUUCCUUCUCCCCCUCCUAUCCUGAAGACAGCACUGGGGGCUGGCUGGGCUGUUUCAGCCUAGUCCUGCUCCUGGUAUGCACAGACACAAGUUAAUGAAGGUGCUCCAUUUUGGAGUUCCUUCAUCUGAACCCUCAAUACAUGAACUCUCAUUGUCGUGCAUUUGGGCACUUUUUAAAGCUCUCUGUAGGCAUGUAGUUCUGUCAGUGCAUGACUGCAGCACACUUUCAGUGGCUGAUCACACAACAAAACAUCACUUCUGUGAGCACCUACAGUUUACAGCUCCCCAACCCAUGUAGACCCAAACCAGUUGGAAUCUGAGCCCAUACACAGCUCGGGAAGAGGGGAACAGGGCCCCUUGCAUGUGGCCACAGCAUGGGCACAGGUCCUAGCUGUCUGGCCUCAGCUUGGGUGCAGAAAAAGCCCCUUUCCUCUGGUUGCCGACAUGCUGCCAAAGCCAGCUGGCCUUGUAGCAAAACCCCCUGGCUUUUCUUUUCUUUUUUUUUUUUACUUAGAAAUAUGACAUCCCCUUUUCCCCAUCAUUUCUGCCUUCUCUCCCCUCCUGUAUUCCCUAUGGGUGUAUAUAUAUAUAAGUAGUUAUAAGUUAAGUUCAAACCCUGUGUACACAAGUCCUCUUUUAUAGUAACCAUGAGCUAUUGUAAUAGUGUUUUGCUGUGUGUGUUGUAUUACUGUAAUAUAUUACACUGUAUGGUUAUUGUGUCUUAAGUGUCUCUAUGUUAACAUUGUAUGAUUUAGGCCUGCAAUGUGGGUUGGCAUGAGUGAUGUCAAGUAUCCAUUUUGUGUCAGGUUCCCAUCUUCUCCCCAUGCCCUGUUGUGUGAGUAUGUUGCAAGUAUGACUCACAUUUAAGUCUGUAACCUCUCCCAUGUAAAUUGGUUUUCCUUGAAUGCCUGAAACAAAAGAGUGAAUGGAUGAGUGAAACACAAUUGUAGCAGGACCCCCUACUAAAUCACCCCACCAUCAAAACCAAUACCUGGACCAACGACCCAGCCAUUGGAAUCACCCUCAGCAUUCAAGAAACAAAAGAUGAGGCAACCCACCAUUGUGCCAAGGCUGCACGUGCUCAGUAUGAACAUCUGGAACCCUCUGGAGCAGGACUGACCUUGCCUGGACAUGCCUUCCCUGUAGGAGAUCAUAGGUAGUUUGCCCCAUAAAAAGGGGUAGUGAAGACUGACUUCUGGGGACGCCCUCUCCAUCUGGACCAGCACCAUGCCUCACUACCUAUCCACCCAGAGGCCCUGCUGGGGCCCCCCCGCAGAUAACACGUUGCUGGAGAAGACCCCGACUGGCCAUCGAGGAUCAACUCACAACCCAGGAUAGGUAGCUAUCACCCCCACCCUAUCUUCAACCAGGGACUUGGACUCCGUUUCUCUUCCCUACCUUUCCACUGAGUCUCUUUCUCCUGCUUCCAUUGUGUGCGUGUGUGUGGGAACCAAGCUGUACAGUACAGCGUUCAUUUAAUAAAACUGUUAU